rnacentral:rRNA from 1 species
GACGAACGCUGGCGGCGUGCUUAACACAUGCAAGUCGAACGGAAAGGCCUCUUUCGGGGGGUACUCGCGUGGCGAACGGGUGAGUAACACGUGAGUAACCUGCCCUUUACUUUGGGGUAACUCCUGGAGACUGGGGCUCUUAUCGGAUAUGAGCUCCUGCUGCACGGUGGGGGUUGGAGAGUUUCGGCGGUUGUGGAUGGAGUCGCGGCGUAUAAGCUUGUGGGGGGGGUAGUGGGUUACCCAGGCGUUGACGGGGAUCCGGACAGUGAGGGUGAACGGCCACAUUGGGGCUGAGAUACGGCCCAGACGCCUACGGGAGGCAGAAGGGGGGAAGAUUGCACAAGGGGUGGAAGCCUGAUGCAGCAACGCCGUGGGCGGGAUGACGGCCUUCGUGGUGUAAAACGCUUUCGCGCAUGACGAAGCGUUGUGUGACGGUAGUGGGUAAAGAAGCACCGGCUAACUACGUG